rnacentral:rRNA from 1 species
UACGGAGGAGGCAAGAGUUAUCCGGAAUUAUUGGGCGUAAAGCGUCCGUAGGUGGUUGACCAAGUCUGCUGUCAAAGGGUGGGGCUUAACCUCAUAAAGGCAGUGGAAACUGGUGAGCUAGAGUGCGGUAGGGGUAAGGGGAAGUCCCAGUGUAGAGGUGAAAUACGUAGAGAUUGGGAAGAACAUCGGUGGCGAAAGCGCCUUGCUGGGCCUGCACUGACACUGAGGGACGAAAGCUAGGGGAGCGAAAGGG